rnacentral:rRNA from 1 species
UUCCUACGGGGGACAGCAGUAGGGAAUCUUCCGCAAUGGACGAAAGUCUGACGGAGCAACGCCGCGUGAGUGAUGAAGGCUUUCGGGUCGUAAAACUCUGUUGUUAGGGAAGAACAAGUACGAGAGUAACUGCUCGUACCUUGACGGUACCUAACCAGAAAGCCACGGCUAACUACGUGCCAGCAGCCGCGGUAAUACGUAGGUGGCAAGCGUUAUCCGGAAUUAUUGGGCGUAAAGCGCGCGCAGGCGGUUUCUUAAGUCUGAUGUGAAAGCCCACGGCUCAACCGUGGAGGGUCAUUGGAAACUGGGGAACUUGAGUGCAGAAGAGAAAAGCGGAAUUCCACGUGUAGCGGUGAAAUGCGUAGAGAUGUGGAGGAACACCAGUGGCGAAGGCGGCUUUUUGGUCUGUAACUGACGCUGAGGCGCGAAAGCGUGGGGAGCAAACAGGAUUAGAUAC